AAAGUCGUAACAAGGUUUCCGUAGGUGAACCUGCGGAAGGAUCAUUAAUUAUAUAAGGCACAGGGCAACGCUUUCCGAAAGGACAGUUAGUGGAUGUUCGGUUCCACUGGCUGGGGCGGAGUAAUCCGCUGAUCGAGCUUGCUGUCUGAACCCUACCCUUGCUUUUUGUGUACCUAUUGUUUCCUCGGCAGGCUUGCCUGCCAGUAGGACCCCCUUCAACCCUUUGUAGUUGCAGUCAGCGUCAGAAAUAACGUAAUCGUUACAACUUUCAACAACGGAUCUCUUGGUUCUG
rnacentral:misc_RNA from 1 species